UAGGGAAUCUUCCGCAAUGGGCGAAAGCCUGACGGAGCAACGCCGCGUGAGUGAUGAAGGUCUUAGGAUCGUAAAACUCUGUUAUUAGGGAAGAACAAACGUGUAAGUAACUGUGCACGUCUUGACGGUACCUAAUCAGAAAGCCACGGCUAACUACGUGCCAGCAGCCGCGGUAAUACGUAGGUGGCAAGCGUUAUCCGGAAUUAUUGGGCGUAAAGCGCGCGUAGGCGGUUUUUUAAGUCUGAUGUGAAAGCCCACGGCUCAACCGUGGAGGGUCAUUGGAAACUGGAAAACUUGAGUGCAGAAGAGGAAAGUGGAAUUCCAUGUGUAGCGGUGAAAUGCGCAGAGAUAUGGAGGAA
rnacentral:rRNA from 1 species